rnacentral:rRNA from 1 species
CCUGUAAGGGGAGUGAAAUAGAACCUGAAACCGUGUACGUACAAGCAGUGGGAGCACCUUCGUGGUGUGACUGCGUACCUUUUGUAUAAUGGGUCAGCGACUUACAUUCAGUGGCGAGGUUAACCGAAUAGGGGAGCCGUAGAGAAAUCGAGUCCGAACAGGGCGACAGUCGCUGGGUGUAGACCCGAAACCAAGUGAUCUAUCCAUGGCCAGGAUGAAGGUGCCGUAACAGGUACUGGAGGUCCGAACCCACUACUGUUGCAAAAGUAGGGGAUGAGCUGUGGAUAGGGGUGAAAGGCUAAACAAACCUGGAAAUAGCUGGUUCUCUCCGAAAACUAUUUAGGUAGUGCCUCAAGUAUCACCAUCGGGGGUAGAGCACUGUUAUGGCUAGGGGGUCAUCGCGACUUACCAAACCAUUGCAAACUCCGAAUACCAGUACGUACUAUCCGGGAGACACACGGCGGGUGCUAACGUCCGUCGUGAAAAGGGAAACAACCCAGACCCACAGCUAAGGUCCCAAAUUCACUGCUAAGUGGAAAACGAUGUGGAAAGGCAUAGACAGCCAGGAGGUUGGCUUAGAAGCAGCCACCCUUUAAAGAAAGCGUAAUAGCUCACUGGUCGAGUCGGUCUGCGCGGAAGAUUUAACGGGGCUAAGCAGUGAACCGAAGCUUGGGGUGCGUAAAACUUCGGUUUUAUGCGCGGUAGAGGAGCGUUCCGUAAGCCUGCGAAGGUGGAUUGAGAAGUCUGCUGGAGGUAUCGGAAGUGCGAAUGCUGACAUGAGUAACGAUAAUGCGGGUGAAAAGCCCGCACGCCGAAAGCCCAAGGUUUCCUUGCGCAACGUUAAUCGACGCAGGGUUAGUCGGUCCCUAAGGCGAGGGCGAAAGCCGUAGUCGAUGGGAAGCAGGUUAAUAUUCCUGCACCUCGCGUGAGUGCGAUGGAGGGACGGAGAAGGUUAGGUGUACCGGGCGUUGGUUGUCCCGGGGAAAGGCGGUAGGUUUGGAUCUUUGGCAAAUCCGGGAUCCUUUAAGACCGAGCACCGAGACGAGCCUUUAUGGCGAAGUCACUGAUACCACGCUUCCAGGAAAAGCUCCUAAGCUUCAGCUCACGAAGACCGUACCGUAAACCGACACAGGUGGGUAGGAUGAGAAUACUCAGGCGCUUGAGAGAACUCGGGUGAAGGAACUAGGCAACAUGGCACCGUAACUUCGGGAGAAGGUGCGCCGGUGAGGGUGAAGGACUUGCUCCGUAAGCUCAUGCCGGUCGAAGAUACCAGGCCGCUGCGACUGUUUAUUAAAAACACAGCACUCUGCAAACACGAAAGUGGACGUAUAGGGUGUGACGCCUGCCCGGUGCUGGAAGGUUAAUUGAUGGG